AUCCAGCUGACAAGUCCCAAAUAGGACGAAACGCGCUUCCAACUGGAG
rfam:Schistosoma rodhaini strain Burundi genome assembly, scaffold: SROB_scaffold0011894